GCAUACCUCUUCAUUUAUGCGUGUCAUGACUUGUAUCGUCUUGAGCGUAUUGUGGGUUUCCUGUGUUGCAUUCCUUUCUUAUGGUAUCGUGCCUGAUUGAUCGAAGUCCCUUUUCAUCUUUUGUUGCUUUUUGUGACGCAUGAUGAACCUCGAGGCGGUCUCUAUGUUCCACCACGUUGAUGCUAGCGUUUUGUUGUUGUGGCCCAUUGAGCGUUGCUUGGUUUUGUGGAUACAGAACAUGAUUUGGGCAUAGGGUCACUUGUGACUCUUGUUCUGUCCUCUAUCAGUGUUCUUUAUAACGACGGUUCAUGCGCGCCUAGGCUCGUACCUGCGCGAUGUUCUUUGUCGAAGAGGAAUGC
rnacentral:misc_RNA from 1 species